CGGCAACAGCUCAAAUUUGAAAUCUGGCCUCUUUGGGGUCCGAGUUGUAAUUUGGAGAGGAUGUUUCGGGUACGGUCCGGGCUUAAAUUUCUUGGAACAGAAUGUCACAGAGGGUGAGAGCCCCGUCUGG
rnacentral:rRNA from 1 species